GCCGAGUGCGGGACUGGGGCUCCUGGCUGUGGGUGUGGUACUGAGGCUUCAGCCGGUGCCACCAGCCUAGAGGGAGUGGAGCGAUUUUCCUUUCAGAGAGCCUACGACUAGAUUUGCAUCUUUACGUCCUGCACGGAGGCUGCUACACACAUGCAGAAGUCAUGCUGGUGGCCUGGACAGUGAAGGGAGAGAAGUGGAUUUGGGAGACAUUUAGGAGGUGCUGUUGUAGGCGCAAGGGAUACAAUGAUGAUCAAGGCAGAUGCAGCCGUUACCUUCAGGUUGUGGAGUCCGGAUACAGACUGGAGGCAGGCAGCUGUAAGAUGUGUGACAAAUGCUGCGCUGGAUCAGCCCAUGGUAUUAGGAGAGCAGGUAAGGAAGGGUGGGGACGGGAGCGGACAACCUGGAGGAAGAGGCACCUAAGCAGAGUCCGGAAGGCUGAGGAGGAGUCAGCAGGUAAAAGAGAGGGGAAUCAUGACAUGCCAUCUCAACUGUAGGGCACGGCUAGCUGGCUGACUUAGCUGCUGUAACACUGGAUUUUUGCAAGAGUCCCUGAGUAUUUCUCGUGGACUUGCGAACAAAUCUGAGCAAGAAAACCACGUAAUUUCUUUUAUGCCCUGCCCAAGAAAGCCACCUGGAGGGGCAAGGGGACCUUAGCAGAAAGAAGCUGGAGGUGGGGGGAGAGCAG